ensembl:lncRNA novel transcript, antisense to MYO7B
GGAUCCUGUAGGGAGGCACCUGGGACGUCCCCAGGGACUGGUGCAGCCCUAUCCUUUUUUUUUCUUUUUUGAGACAGAGUCUCGCUCUGUCACCCAGGCUGGAGUGCAGUGGUGCGAUCUUGGCUCACCGCAAGCUCCGCCUCCCGAGUUCAAGCGAUUCUUCUGCCUCAGCCUCCCGAGUAGCUGGGACUACAGGCGCGUGCCACUGCGCCUGGCUAAUUUCUGUGUUUUUAGUAGAGGGGGUCUUGCCACCUUGGCCAGGCUGGUCUCAAACUCCUGACCUCAGAUGAUCCACCUGCCUUGGCUUCCCAAACUGCUGGGAUUACAGGCAUGAGCCACCACGUCCAGCCUGGCGCCACCCUAUUCUACCUGGGAGGGGUGUGGGGACCCUUUAGGAGGAGGGAGGAAGGCCAUCCCGUCCCCUCAUUAGCAUCUGUAGGGCGGGGCUGCGCUAGCUGUGGAAGGCGCUGUCUGUGUGCCCCAGCCCAGGCUCGCUCUUGCCAGCCUAUGCCUUGCAGGAUUGUGACUCGUUCCGUGCAGGAGGGCAUCUUGCUCCGAGUCUGUGUCCCGGGUGCCUCUCUUCUUUCUUCUCUGGAGCUCUUCUGUGUCUCUGGGGGCCUCUCUCGGGGACCACCUCUAGCUCCUUGUCUUCCAGUCUCCUUCCUUCCUCUUUCCUAACUCCCCACCUUCACCCGUUCCUCUCCCCAGCACCACUGUGCUGUGUCCAUCACCGACUAUAAUAUCCAACCGAACUCUCUUUUCACUGUUGAAUACAGCGUUAUUUCUUAGAAAAGUGGCUGGGUACUAUUCAUAUACUGGCUUUGGGAAUGUAAUAAAUGCAUCAAAUCUGAA